GAUGAACGCUGGCGGCGUGCCUAAUACAUGCAAGUAGAACGCUGAAGGAGGAGCUUGCUCUUCUGGAUGAGUUGCGAACGGGUGAGUAACGCGUAGGUAACCUGCCUGGUAGCGGGGGAUAACUAUUGGAAACGAUAGCUAAUACCGCAUGACAACAGUUAUUGCAUGAUAACUGUUUAAAAGGGGCAACUGCUCCACUACCAGAUGGACCUGCGUUGUAUUAGGUAGUUGGUGAGGUAACGGCUGACUAAGGCGACGAUACAUAGUGGACCGGAGAGGGGGAGCAGCCGCACUGGGAGGGUGACACGCCCCAUACGGCUACGGGAGGCAGCAGUAGUGAUACGUCAGCAAGAGACGGAAGUCUGACCGAGCAACGCCGCGUGAGUGAAGAAGGUUUUCGGAUCGUAAAGCUCGGUUGUAAGAGAGGAACGAGUGUGAGAGUGGAAAGUUCACUCUGUGACGGUAACUGACCAGGAAGGGACGGCUAACUACGUG
rnacentral:rRNA from 1 species